rnacentral:sRNA from 1 species
AGAUGUGAGGGCAAUGUGAGGUUAUCCUGCUGGUGUGGCUGGGCUGGGCAUCUGUCCCUUUCCUCUCUGCUCAGUGUGUGUCCCUCCCGAAGCUGUGCUGAGACAGAGAGGACCACCCUCCCCAACAGGCAAGGAUUGCUCUCAGCCAAGAGCACACCAGCAGCCGUGCCCCUGUGCUGGAAACUGCUCUUGCUCUGGCUUGAAAAUCUCCUUUUUAAAAAUUGCACUUAUUAUGUAUGGUUGUGUGCGUGU